AGGCUGUGGCCACUUCCUGUCUGCAGGUGUCCAUGUGUGCGGUACGAGCCGCUGCCGUCCUGCUCAGGCCGAAUCAUCAGUCCAGUCCGGUUCAAUACUCAGACGUCAGGAGAGUCGUGGAGGCCGUGAUGUCCAAGUGCAGAGAGAGCUGCUCUGGUCCUGAGUCAGUGUCAGCA